CAGUAGCCGCGGGAAUACGGAGGAUCCGAGCGUUAUCCGGAAUUAUUGGGUUUAAAGGGUGCGUAGGCGGAUAGAUAAGUCAGUGGUGAAAGACGGUGGCUCAACCAUCGCAGUGCCGUUGAUACUGUUUAUCUUGAAUAUGGAUGAGGUAGGCGGAAUGUGGCAAGUAGCGGUGAAAUGUAUAGAUAUGCCACAGAACACCGAUUGCGAAGGCAGCUUACCAAGGCAAAAUUGACGCUGAGGCACGAAAGCGUGGGGAUCGAACAGGAUUAGAUACCCCAGUAGUCCCUGUCUCUUAUAC
rnacentral:rRNA from 1 species